rnacentral:lncRNA from 1 species
GAAAUCUUUCUGGUCUGUUUUAUAGUGCUUUGAUUGGUUCACAGAAGAUUCAUGUUGUUGUUCUUGUAGGCGGCUCAUCAUGGAGACGGUUCUGCUGUUGCUGCUCCUCACAGCUCUGACGCCCACAGUGUCCUCCCAGUCGUACACCUUCUACUUUGUUGCUGAGAACAUGAGCUGGUCGAAUGCUCAGACGUACUGCAGACAGCAUUAUAUUGAUCUGGCCUCCGUCCUUGACUACGCUGACGUAGAAGAGGCACUGGGAUCCAUAGAUCCGGAUUACUAUGCAAACGUGUGGAUCGGACUGUAUCGGCAUGGUCCCACUGAUCCCUGGCUCUGGUCGGACAGCGGCACGUCCACAUUUAUACCGUGGGGUCCAGGACAGCCAAACAACUACGCCAACAGUCAGUACUGUGUGGAACUGGAACGCAACUGGGUACUGAAUGAUCUGAACUGCAACACUAAACUGAGUUUUGUCUGCUACAAAGAGCGCAGCAAACAGACGGCAAAACUGACAGUCAAAUCCAGUCAAAAUCUGACUGAUCCGGCUGUGAAGACGCAGAUUCUCCAGAAGAUUGAGCAGGUGAUGAAGGAGAAAGGAUUAAUUAAUUAUCUUAAACUUGCCUGGAAAACCCAAUCUGAUGGAGACGUCUUUCAGAAGAGCCCGCAGAAAGGAGACACUCCACACAUCUGCUCCUGAGGAAACUACAAAACCAGUUGCAUUGAUUUACUGUGGCCAGAUUAAAAUACAGUAAGAAAUAAUGAACGCGUUUUGACGUAAUUAUGCGAUUUGGCAUUGAUCUAUGUUUGAUAUGUUUACUGAAGUGUAGCACAGCUGUGUUCAAGUUCAACAUAUUUAAAGGAAAAUAAAUGUACAAGGUGC